AGUCGACGAUGAAGACCGUGCUUGCACGGUCGGAUUAGUGGCGAACGGGUGAGUAUCACGUGAGUAACCUUCCCUUGACUCUGGGAUAAGCCCGGGAAACUGGGUCUAAUACCGGAUACGACCAGUCCUCGCAUGGGGUGCUGGUGGAAAGAUUUAUCGGUCUUGGAUGGACUCGCGGCCUAUCAGCUUGUUGGUGAGGUAAAGGCUCACCAAGGCGAUGACGGGUAGCCGGCCUGAGAGGGUGACCGGCCACACUGGGACUGAGACACGGCCCAGACUCCUACGGGAGGCAGCAGUGGGGAAUAUUGCACAAUGGGCGAAAGCCUGAUGCAGCGACGCCGCGUGCGGGAUGACGGCCUUCGGGUUGUAAACCGCUUUCAGCAGGGAAGAAGCGAAAGUGACGGUACCUGCAGAAGAAGCGCCGGCUAACUACGUGCCAGCAGCCGCGGUAAUACGUAGGGCGCGAGCGUUAUCCGGAAUUAUUGGGCGUAAAGAGCUCGUAGGCGGUUUGUCACGUCUGCUGUGAAAGCCCGGGGCUCAACCCCGGGUGUGCAGUGGGUACGGGCAGACUAGAGUGCAGUAGGGGAGACUGGAAUUCCUGGUGUAGCGGUGAAAUGCGCAGAUAUCAGGAGGAACACCGAUGGCGAAGGCAGGUCUCUGGGCUGUUACUGACGCUGAGGAGCGAAAGCAUGGGGAGCGAACAGGAUUAGAUACCCUGGUAGUCCAUGCCGUAAACGUUGGGCACUAGUGUGGGGGACAUUCCACGUUUUCCGCGCCGUAGCUAACGCAUUAAGUGCCCCGCCUGGGGAGUACGGCCGCAAGGCUAAACUCAAAGGAAUUUGACGGGGGCCCGCACAAGCGGCGGAGCAUGCG
rnacentral:rRNA from 1 species